rnacentral:lncRNA from 1 species
CGAACAUUUUAUUAUUGGAUGAUACUGAUUGGAGCUGUGUAGCUUUGCUGGUAGAAACAAAGCUCUAACUUGCAAUUCCUUUUUAUGGAAACAGAUAAGUAGGUACUUUUCGGAUCCCCAGUACUACUUCCAAGUAAAUGAUAAGUAUGUGAGAAACAAACUGAAAGUAGUUCUUUUCCCUUUCCUACACAGAGUAAGGUUUUAUUUGCAUUUAUCUCAUUGGAGUAUCAUCAUUGCAUUAUGUUCCCAAAUAGUAAUCUCCUCAAUUGUCUGUAGGGUCAUUGGACAAGAAUCACUGAGCCAGUUGGUGGCAGGCUAUCCUAUAAGCCCCCUAUCUAUGACAUAAAUGCUCCGGAUUUAUACAUUCCGUUUAUGGCCUUCGGAACCUAUGUUGUUCUUGCUGGCUUAUCACUGGGUUUGCAGGGAAGGUAAGCUUAUCAUACAUUCCGUUUAUGGCCUUAGGAACCUAUGUUGUUCUUGCUGGCUUAUCACUGGGUUUGCAGGGAAGGUAAGCUUAUCGUUUCCUCAAGCUACCUUUAGGCUUUGAACGUGGUGGUGAGUAAUAAUGAUGAAUUUGGUUAAUUGUUGCUCACCUUAUUUUAGUUUGAAGCGCCAAAUGCCAUGACAUUUAUACUUGAACAUGCAGUGUGCGGAAUGUUAUAUCAUUUUCAGCACCAAUUAAUUCAGUUAUUUGCAUGAAGCCAUCUGCUGCACCAGAUGAUUUCCUUUUGUGCUAAUAUUCCUUUGGGUUAUCUCCAUUCUUAGCAAAGACAAAAAUACUAGGUAAUUUUUCCCGUCUACCUAAGCCUUCACGGGGUUGCU